rnacentral:rRNA from 1 species
GACGAACGCUGGCGGCGUGCUUGACACAUGCAAGUCGAACGGAAAGGCCCUGCUUUUGUGGGGUGCUCGAGUGGCGAACGGGUGAGUAACACGUGAGUAACCUGCCCUUGACUUUGGGAUAACUUCAGGAAACUGGGGCUAAUACCGGAUAGGAGCUCCUGCUGCAUGGUGGGGGUUGGAAAGUUUCGGCGGUUGGGGAUGGACUCGCGGCUUAUCAGCUUGUUGGUGGGGUAGUGGCUUACCAAGGCUUUGACGGGUAGCCGGCCUGAGAGGGUGACCGGCCACAUUGGGACUGAGAUACGGCCCAGACUCCUACGGGAGGCAGCAGUGGGGAAUAUUGCACAAUGGGCGGAAGCCUGAUGCAGCAACGCCGCGUGCGGGAUGACGGCCUUCGGGUUGUAAACCGCUUUCGCCUGUGACGAAGCGUGAGUGACGGUAAUGGGUAAAGAAGCACCGGCUAACUACGU